rnacentral:rRNA from 1 species
GAUGAACGCUGGCGGCGUGCCUAAUACAUGCAAGUCGAGCGAACGGACGAGAAGCUUGCUUCUCUGAUGUUAGCGGCGGACGGGUGAGUAACACGUGGAUAACCUACCUAUAAGACUGGGAUAACUUCGGGAAACCGUAGCUAAUACCGGAUAAUAUUUUGAACCGCAUGGUUCAAAAGUUAAAGACGGUCUUGCUGUCACUUAUAGAUGGAUCCGCGCUGCAUUAGCUAGUUGGUAAGGUAACGGCUUACCAAGGCAACGAUGCAUAGCCGACCUGAGAGGGUGAUCGGCCACACUGGAACUGAGACACGGUCCAGACUCCUACGGGAGGCAGCAGUAGGGAAUCUUCCGCAAUGGGCGAAAGCCUGACGGAGCAACGCCGCGUGAGUGAUGAAGGUCUUCGGAUCGUAAAACUCUGUUAUUAGGGAAGAACAUAUGUGUAAGUAACUGUGCACAUCUUGACGGUACCUAAACAGAAAGCCACGGCUAACUACGUG